CAACUUCAAAAUAAUAAUAAUAAUAAUAAUAAUAAUAAAAGAUUACGGGGUAUCAUAGUUAAUGAAUAAAAAUUUAUUCACCUCCGAUAUGCUGAUCAAUUCAUGUUGUGAUGACCUCAUUGCAAAAUGGAAAGCUUCUAAGAUUGAUUUGGUCUAUCAAUUGUACUUUGAGGUCUGUGGAUAAAUAUUAUGUUCUAUCCA
rnacentral:lncRNA from 1 species